rnacentral:rRNA from 1 species
CCUACGGGUGGCAGCAGUGGGGAAUAAUGCGCAAUGGGGGAAACCCUGACGCAGCAACGCCGCGUGAGUGAAGACGUAUCUCGGUAUGUAAAGCUCUAUCAGCGGGGCAGAAGGAAGACGGUACACGACUAAGAAGAACCGGCUAACUACGUGCCAGCAGCCGAGGUAAUAAGUAGGGGGCAAGCGUUAUCCGGAUUUACUGGGCGUAAAGGGAGCGUAGACUGCGUCGCAAGUCUGAAGUGAAAGCCCCUGGCUCAACCGCGGCACCGCUUUGGAAACUGCGUGGCUAGAGUGCUGGAGAGGUAAGCGGAAUUCCUGGUGUAGCGGUGAAAUGCGUAGAUAUCAGGAGGAACACCGGUGGCGAAGGCGGCUUACUGGACAUUGACUGACGUUGAGGCUCGAAAGCGUGGGGAGCGAACAGGAUUAGAUACCCCAGUAGUC